rnacentral:lncRNA from 10 species
ACCCUUCCAGGACGCGGCCUCCUCGCUUCUUAAAAUGUCUGAGCUCUACGAAGUGGAACUGUUAGCCCUCCGUUUAUUGCCUUACUUCACACUGAAAUAAGCCAACGUUUAUUUUAUUUUAUUUAUUUUAUUAUUUAUUUUAUUAUUUUUUUUCGAGACGGAGUCUCGCUCUGUCCCAGGCUGGAGUGCCGUGGCGGGAUCUCGACUCACUGCAACCUCCGCCUCCGUGUUCAAGCUAUUCUACCUCAGCCUCCCGAGUAGCUGGGAUUACAGGUGCCCGCCACCACGCCCGGCUAAUUUUUGUAUUUUUAGUAGAGAUGGGGUUUCACCAUGUUGGCCAGGCUGAUCUCGAACUGCUGACCUUGUGAUCCUCCCGCCUCAGCCUCCCAAAGUGUUGGGAUUACAGGCGUGAGCCACCGCGCCCGGCCCCCAACGUUUCUUUUUAAGCCUGUCAUAUCUCACAUUAAAUGUGUAAGUCUCUGAACUGUAGGGCUUUGAACAAAGGAAAGUUCCAUGAGAAUACUAUAUGAUGCCAAUUUCUACUGUUAGGAACGCGAUAACAGAGUGCAGUGGGGGAGAAAAUACCGUCCUCAAGAUCUGAGAAACUGGAGAGGAAAAGUCACAGGACAACCAACUUCUCUAUGACAUAGCCCAGCAUCUGAGGAAAGUCCUGCAAUAGUGGAGGUGGAGCAGAGGGUAUGAGCUGGGAAGCAAAUGGAGCAGGAGCUGGAGGCUGCCCCAUCCACUCCAAGCCAGAGAACAAGCAGAGGCUGCCACAGGAGAUCCUGGGCAAGUAAUCAGCCACAGCAUCUAGAUUAGCAUGAAGGAAACACUGGCCAAAUUAAAAGAUGAAACUUCCAAAAGAGUCUCGAUCUAUUGCCCAGGCUGCAGUGCAAAGGUGCAGUCUCGGCUCACUGCAACAUCCACCUUCCGGGUUCAAGCAAUUCUCGUGCCUCAGCCUCGCGAAUAGCUGGGAUUACAGUGCAAAGGGGAAGAGUCAGAAGGUGAAUAAAUACUCACAGCCGAAGCUCUUCAAAAGACUUCACCGAGUACAGAGGGGAGUUUGGAUCCCGCUGCAGGACUUCCACUUGGUUUGUGUUAUCAACAAGGUUGCUUCUGAUCAGCUUGUUGAGUAAGGACUGGGCAGCUCUGUCCUCUGUCAGGAAAAAGAAAGCAAAGAAUUUUAAAAAGUCCUUGAAACCUACCAGGCGUUUACUCUAAUUCAACUGCCAUUUGUAUUUUAAAUAAUAAUGUACUGAACAUUCAAAUUCAAGGUACGUCAUAGUUUUGACUUAUAAAUUAAAAUAGUUUUAUUAAAGAAAAAAGUUAUGAUACAUCACCCAUUUAGGCCUCAUAUUCUUUUCCAGACUCUAUUCUAACAGCCCUCUUUUCCUGCAGUUAUCUAUUCCUCCUAUCCAGACCCACAUAUUUACUCCCCAAUUUGUACUAUAUAUAAACCUAAAGUAAUUAAUGUAGCAAUCACAA